GGGGCAGGGCGGCGUGCCUAUACAUGCAGUCGAACGAACUCUGGUAUUGAUUGGUGCUUGCAUCAUGAUUUACAUUUGAGUGAGUGGCGAACUGGUGAGUAACACGUGGGAAACCUGCCCAGAAGCGGGGGAUAACACCUGGAAACAGAUGCUAAUACCGCAUAACAACUUGGACCGCAUGGUCCGAGCUUGAAAGAUGGCUUCGGCUAUCACUUUUGGAUGGUCCCGCGGCGUAUUAGCUAGAUGGUGGGGUAACGGCUCACCAUGGCAAUGAUACGUAGCCGACCUGAGAGGGUAAUCGGCCACAUUGGGACUGAGACACGGCCCAAACUCCUACGGGAGGCAGCAGUAGGGAAUCUUCCACAAUGGACGAAAGUCUGAUGGAGCAACGCCGCGUGAGUGAAGAAGGGUUUCGGCUCGUAAAACUCUGUUGUUAAAGAAGAACAUAUCUGAGAGUAACUGUUCAGGUAUUGACGGUAUUUAACCAGAAAGCCACGGCUAACUACGUGCCAGCAGCCGCGGUAAUACGUAGGUGGCAAGCGUUGUCCGGAUUUAUUGGGCGUAAAGCGAGCGCAGGCGGUUUUUUAAGUCUGAUGUGAAAGCCUUCGGCUCAACCGAAGAAGUGCAUCGGAAACUGGGAAACUUGAGUGCAGAAGAGGACAGUGGAACUCCAUGUGUAGCGGUGAAAUGCGUAGAUAUAUGGAAGAACACCAGUGGCGAAGGCGGCUGUCUGGUCUGUAACUGACGCUGAGGCUCGAAAGUAUGGGUAGCAAACAGGAUUAGAUACCCUGGUAGUCCAUACCGUAAACGAUGAAUGCUAAGUGUUGGAGGGUUUCCGCCCUUCAGUGCUGCAGCUAACGCAUUAAGCAUUCCGCCUGGGGAGUACGGCCGCAAGGCUGAAACUCAAAGGAAUUGACGGGGGCCCGCACAAGCGGUGGAGCAUGUGGUUUAAUUCGAAGCUACGCGAAGAACCUUACCAGGUCUUGACAUACUAUGCAAAUCUAAGAAGAUUAGACGUUCCCUUCGGGGACAUGGAUACAGGUGGGGGCA
rnacentral:rRNA from 2 species